rnacentral:lncRNA from 1 species
UAGUGCGCAUGGAUGUUCAUAAAAUAUUGUAAUUUUAUUUUUUUUGCAUAUUAAAUGACAGUUUGAAAAAAAACGAGAAUGUUCAACUUCCAAAAUUCUGGUUGCAAAAACUAAAUUUUGAAAUUGACGCCGAAAACAAAUAGGGUGCAUUCAUAUUUUUGCUAUGUGGUUAUUUGCCGUUCUGGUUUUACGCAAUUAAUCAGAGUGAAUAAAAUAAUCGCGAUUGGACAUACAUUCUAAAUAAUUUAACUAAAAGGGCUAAAUAGGUGUUAAUUGUAAAAGAACAUAGCAAUUUUUACCGGAAUCAUCUAUUUCAUAACCG